GAGGUUGGGAGAGGGAUGCGGAAUUCCAGGUGUAGCGGUGAAAUGCGUAGAUAUCUGGAGGAACACCGGUGGCGAAGGCGGCAUCCUGGACCGGCAUUGACGCUGAGGCGCGAAAGCUAGGGGAGCAAACGGGAUUAGAUACCCCGGUAGUCCUAGCCCUAAACGAUGAAUGCUUGGUGUGGCGGGUAUCGAUCCCUGCCGUGCCGAAGCUAACGCAUUAAGCAUUCCGCCUGGGGAGUACGGUCGCAAGGCUGAAACUCAAAUGAAUUGACGG
rnacentral:rRNA from 1 species